AGCAGCCGCGGUAAUUCCAGCUCCAAUAGCGUAUAUUAAAGUUGUUGCAGUUAAAAAGCUCGUAGUUGAACUUCGGGAUCAAUUAGUUGGUCAUGCCUUGGUAUGUACUGAUUUUAUUGGUUCUCACCUUCUAAAGAACUAUAAUGUCAUUUAUUUGAUGUUAUAGGGAAUUAGGACUGUUACCUUGAAAAAUUAGAGUGUUUAAAGCAGGCUCACGCUUGAAUACAUUAGCAUGGAAUAAUGAAAUAGGACAUCGCAUUCUAUUUUGUUGGUUUCUAGGAUCGAUGUAAUGAUUAAUAGGGAUAGUUGGGGGCAUUAGUAUUCAAUUGUCAGAGGUGAAAUUCUUGGAUUUAUUGAAGACUAACUACUGCGAAAGCAUUUGCCAAGGAUGUUUUCGUUAAUCAAGAACGAAAGUUAGGGGAUCGAAGACGAUCAGAUACCGUCGUAGUCUUAACCAUAAACUAUGCCGACUAGGGAUCGGAUGAUGUUGAUUUUUAAUGUACUCAUUC
rnacentral:rRNA from 1 species